rnacentral:rRNA from 1 species
GUGGGGAAUUUUGGACAAUGGGCGAAAGCCUGAUCCAGCCAUGCCGCGUGCAGGAUGAAGGCCUUCGGGUUGUAAACUGCUUUUGUACGGAACGAAAAGACUUCUUCUAAUACAGGAGGUCCAUGACGGUACCGUAAGAAUAAGCACCGGCUAACUACGUGCCAGCAGCCGCGGUAAUACGUAGGGUGCAAGCGUUAAUCGGAAUUACUGGGCGUAAAGCGUGCGCAGGCGGUUAUAUAAGACAGAUGUGAAAUCCCCGGGCUCAACCUGGGAACUGCAUUUGUGACUGUAUAGCUAGAGUACGGUAGAGGGGGAUGGAAUUCCGCGUGUAGCAGUGAAAUGCGUAGAUAUGCGGAGGAACACCGAUGGCGAAGGCAAUCCCCUGGACCUGUACUGACGCUCAUGCACGAAAGCGUGGGGAGCAAACAGGAUUAGAAACCCCAGUAGUCC